UGAGGAAUAUUGGUCAAUGGGCGAGAGCCUGAACCAGCCAAGUAGCGUGCAGGAUGACGGCCCUAUGGGUUGUAAACUGCUUUUAUAUGGGAAUAAAGUGAGGGACGUGUCCCUUAUUGCAUGUACCAUACGAAUAAGGACCGGCUAAUUCCGUGCCAGCAGCCGCGGUAAUACGGACGGUUCGGGCGUUAUCCGGAUUUAUUGGGUUUAAAGGGAGCGUAGGCCGUUUGGUAAGCGUGUUGUGAAAUGUAGGAGCUCAACUUCUAGAUUGCAGCGCGAACUGUCAGACUUGAGUGCGCACAACGUAGGCGGAAUUCAUGGUGUAGCGGUGAAAUGCUUAGAUAUCAUGAAGAACUCCGAUUGCGAAGGCAGCUUACGGGAGCGCAACUGACGCUGAAGCUCGAAGGUGCGGGUAUCGAACAGG
rnacentral:rRNA from 1 species